rnacentral:rRNA from 1 species
ACAUCCACGGAAGUUUUCAGAGAUGAGAAUGUGCCUUCGGGAACCGUGAGACAGGUGCUGCAUGGCUGUCGUCAGCUCGUGUUGUGAAAUGUUGGGUUAAGUCCCGCAACGAGCGCAACCCUUAUCCUUUGUUGCCAGCGGUCCGGCCGGGAACUCAAAGGAGACUGCCAGUGAUAAACUGGAGGAAGGUGGGGAUGACGUCAAGUCAUCAUGGCCCUUACGACCAGGGCUACACACGUGCUACAAUGGCGCAUACAAAGAGAAGCGACCUCGCGAGAGCAAGCGGACCUCAUAAAGUGCGUCGUAGUCCGGAUUGGAGUCUGCAACUCGACUCCAUGAAGUCGGAAUCGCUAGUAAUCGUGGAUCAGAAUGCCACGGUGAAUACGUUCCCGGGCCUUGUACACACCGCCCGUCACACCAUGGGAGUGGGUUGCAAAAGAAGUAGGUAGCUUAACCUUCGGGAGGGCGCUUACCACUUUGUGAUUCAUGACUGGGGUGAAGUCGUAACAAGGUAGGCGUAGUGCU